GACGAACGCUGGCGGCGUGCUUAACACAUGCAAGUCGAACGGAAAGGCCCUGCUUGCAGGGUACUCGAGUGGCGAACGGGUGAGUAACACGUGGGUGAUCUGCCCUGCACUUCGGGAUAAGCCUGGGAAACUGGGUCUAAUACCGGAUAGGAGCCAUUUUUAGUGUGAUGGUUGGAAAGUUUUUUCGGUGUAGGAUGAGCUCGCGGCCUAUCAGCUUGUUGAUGGGGUAAUGGCCUACCAAGGCGGCGACGGGUAGCCGGCCUGAGAGGGUGGACGGCCACAUUGGGGCUGAGAGACGGCGCAGACUCCUACGGGAGGCAGCAGUGGGGAAUAUUGCACAAUGGGCGCAAGCCUGAUGCAGCGACGCCGCGUGGGGGAUGACGGCCUUCGGGUUGUAAACUCCUUUCGCUAGGGACGAAGCUUUUUGUGACGGUACCUAGAGAAGAAGCACCGGCUAACUACGUG
rnacentral:rRNA from 1 species